rnacentral:lncRNA from 1 species
CAGCAGCAGCCCUUUGUGAGCUUCGCAUUUUUGUGUCCCUAGCGCUUAGGAGCGAAUGUCCUUCUUCAGCCUGCCCGCAUGGAUGCUGGGCUUAUCUGCGCGCCGCACUCCUCUUCUUUCACUGAUUCCGAACAGCUUUCAUGGGUGGCUUUGUGAAGAAUUAUCCUCUCCAGGGAAAUACAUCUUUUAUUCUUCUGAUUUUUAAGAGGGAAUAUGGUCUGAGGCAAAGUUCCAGCAACAGAGGAAACUUUCUUCAAUCAACAAUAAGAAUCUGCAAUGUGCUGCUCCACAUUUCUGUGAACUACAGAGUGACUCUGCUGCCUUCCAUUGUGUCCCUGCAUGCUCCAAGUCCUUUAUCUGUUCCCAUAGCCUUUACGCAAGUAUAUAUGCAGCCUAGCUGUAGAAAAGAACAAUGGGGCAGAACAGAGUUUCUGGUACAGAAACAUACUAAUAAUAAUUCUAAUUUUGGCUGACACAAAAUCAAAUGCAAGCAAUUCUUAUAUUUCUAUUACAUGCUACACAAAGGAACAUUAAAAUUUUCCAAGGAUGCCGAACUACAGUUCCCUUAAUUUUGUGUUUGGACAUUCUUAAUCAUUAGAGAAUCUUGUAGUCAUACAUAUGACUCUUAAAAUCCCAAGUAACAUGUCACAUCUCCUUUGUCACAUCUUGCUGGAGAGUUUUGCUUUUUCCCCCUGUUGGAAAUAAACUAUUUGAUAUCUC